CUUCCAGUCCCCGUUCGCCGCCGGCGCGCGGGCAGCACCCGCAGGGGGCGCGGCGGGCGCACAGGAGAGGAACCUGCGGCAGGGAGAUGUCAGUGACAGAAGCUUGAAUUCCCAGUCAUCAUUCCACGCUCUGUCCGUCUAAAGGUAGACCACGCAUUGCCAGCUGCCUUCCUGACUUCCACCUGUCACCACCAUCCUUUGAGCCCCUGAGGAUUAAAAUGGGAGAAUCACGUGGAAAGAGGAGCCUGGUGGGCUAUCAUCUGUGGGUCACACAGAGUCAGACACGACUGAAGUGAUUAAGCAUGCAUUCACUUUGCUGUAUUGCGACGGUUUGGCCAUACAUCGACAUGGAUCAGCCACAGUGAAGAAUCAAGACUCAGGGAAGCCAAGUGUCGGAUGCACAACUACACAGCCUAUGAUGGGGGAAGCUAGAACCAGACCCAAGACUUGCACUUCGUUUAUUUUUUGAGCCUCAAAGACUAGGAAUUACACGACUGAAAAGAACGCAGCCAUAAGGAGACAUGAAGGACUUCCCUAGCGGCACAGUGGAUACGAAUCCACCUGCCAACGCAGAGGACACGGGUUGCAUCCCUCGUCUGGGAAGAUUCCACGUGCCGCAGAGCAACGAAGGCCCAUGCACUGCGGCGAUUGGAUCCUGCACACUCUUUUAAGGGCCCACAAGCCGACCUGCUGCUGCUAAGUCGCUUCAGUUGUGUCCGACUCUGUACGACCCCAGAGACGGCAGCCCACCAGGCUCCCCCGUCCCUGAGAUUCUCCAGGCAAGAACACUGGAGUGGGCUGCCAUUUCCUUCUCCAAUACAUGAAAGUGAAAAGUGAAAGUGAAGUCGCUCAGUUGUGUCCGACUCUUAGCGACCCCAUGGACUGCAGCCCACCAGGCUCCUCCAUCCAUGGGAUUUUCCAGGCAGGAGCACUGGAGUGGGGUGCCAUUGCCUUCUCCAUUUCAGGACCUAGACACUGUUAUUUUUCAGCCUGAAUUUCUCUAGACAGAGAAUCGUAGCUAAUUUAACUCUAAAUUCAUAUGUGAGCCUCUCAAUUUUCAAGAUCGUUUCAACUGUCCUGUUGUAAUCUACAGUUUUCAAGGUGCAGGGUCAAAAAGUCAAUGAUACCUACAGUAAUGACAGCCAGCAUUUCUGAGUAUGCAUGAUGGGCCACUUACUGUGCUAACAGCUUUACAU
ensembl:lncRNA